rnacentral:rRNA from 1 species
UACAGAGGUGGCAAGCGUUGUUCGGAAUUACUGGGCGUAAAGCGCACGUAGGCGGCCUUUCAAGUCAGAUGUGAAAGCCCCGGGCUUAACCCGGGAAUUGCAUUUGAUACUGUUGGGCUUGAGACCGGGAGAGGAUAGCGGAAUUCCCCAGUGUAGAGGUGAAAAUUCGUAGAUAUUGGGAAGAACACCAGUGGCGAAGGCGGCUAUCUGGACCGGUACUGACGCUGAGGUGCGAAAGCGUGGGGAGCAAACAGG